rnacentral:rRNA from 1 species
AGUGAACGCUGGCGGUAGGCCUAACACAUGCAAGUCGAACGGCAGCACAGUAAGAGCUUGCUCUUACGGGUGGCGAGUGGCGGACGGGUGAGGAAUACAUCGGAAUCUACUUUUUCGUGGGGGAUAACGUAGGGAAACUUACGCUAAUACCGCAUACGACCUACGGGUGAAAGCAGGGGAUCUUCGGACCUUGCGCGAUUGAAUGAGCCGAUGUCGGAUUAGCUAGUUGGCGGGGUAAAGGCCCACCAAGGCGACGAUCCGUAGCUGGUCUGAGAGGAUGACCGGCCACAUUGGAAUUGAGACACGUUCCAGAUCCCUACGGGAGGCAGAAGUGGGGAAUAUUGGACAAGGGGCGCAAGCCGGAUCCAGCCAUACCGCGUGGGUGAAGAAGGCCUUCGGGUUGUAAAGCCCUUUUGUUGGGAAAGAAAAGCAGCAGGUUAAUACCCCGCUGUUCUGACGGUACCCAAAGAAUAAGCACCGGCUAACUUCGU